GCUUGCAUAGCUCAGCGGUAGAGCACUACCUUCCAUUUCCAACUUAGGUUCCAAUUUGUUACGGUGGAGGUCCGAGUUCAACCCUCGGUGCAAGCA